GGCGGUCCCCGAUAGCUGCGUCGUCCACUGUUAGACUCCUAAAUGCAUUUUUGGCAAAGGGAAGAGUGUGCCCUGAAGGGCCAUCAAGAACCAGAGGGGAUGCUCAAGUCUGAGGGACCCCUCUGCCCUCCAGGAGCACUUCCCUUCUGGUCAGGAAGGGGUACGGGACCAGUACCGACCAGCGUUAUCAAUCCUGGUUCCUGCUCAGGCCUCAGCCAAGGAGCCUCAUCUGGGUGAUACCUCAGGGUUUAGGUGGUUGUGGGGGCAUGAAAGCUCGUCUUGCCUACCACCUUCUCUAGGACAGCCUCUGAAUUCUAGUGACUGAGAACCUGUCAUUUUGCUGUUCUGAGCCCUGGAGCCACAGAGAUCAAGUCCGGUCCAGUGUUCACUGGACAGUCCUUGGGCUGUGUGAGGAGUUAGGAUGCCUUGCCCACCUGACUUUUCAACUUCAGGACUUUACUAGGGGAUUUGAAGUCAUGGUAUUCUCCUCAGCUACUUCUGUUAUGCCCCUCCUGCUUGAUGGAUGGAACCAUCAGAUCCCCACACUGUGCAGGCAAAGCCAGUCCCCAGCCAUGAAACACGACACCUCUGAAGAUUUUGACUGGAGGACUGUUACCCAUUAACCCAGGUCCUUUCAAUAUGAUCGGAUGGUCGUCAGAGUGGCCCCGCGAAGCACGAAAAGAACCUGUCGUCUUUCCCGCCGCCAGAUUCCAGGGCGAAAAACAGGAGCCCCUUCCCCGCCCUGCUAUAGGCAGGGGUAUCGAGUGGGCCCAGCCCCAAAGGCGCUCCUUCCCCGGGAUCGACAGCUGCCGCCAGCCAGUUCUCCCGGGACGAGAGACC